UAAAGGUGAGGAACAUGGGACUCUUAGUAAGCACACUGCUGACAUUGGAAGAGCCCGGGUUCGCCUGACUGCAAAGUCCAUGCCCUGGCGUAUUAGCCUGCUCGUCUGGAACAACCGCUCAUCAUCCCAUUCUGGAUGCUCCUGUUUAAGCACAUCACACACUCUGUUGUGUUCCCGCAGCCAAAUUGUGGCGUACAUCAUCAGACCAGGCACCAGACCAAAGACCUCCUGGCCCACAGCAAACCGCAGGUGUUCAGGAACAUGAGGAAGGGAAUGUUAUUGACAAUGUUCCAGACUCCCUUGAAGUGGGUAAGUAUGUAGUGCACUGUAUUUGGAGUGGGUUUCAGGAAUAACUUUAUUCUUGUCAGAAAUUCAGCUGCAAAAAAGAAG